rnacentral:rRNA from 1 species
AAGCACUUUGAAAAGAGGGUUAAAGAGUACGUGAAAUUGUUGAAAGGGAAGCGCCCAUGACCAGACUUGGGCCCGGUGAAUCACCCAGCGUUCUCGCUGGUGCACUUUGCCGGGCACAGGCCAGCAUCGGUUUGGCGCGGGGGACAAAGGCUUCGGGAACGUGGCUCCCUCGGGAGUGUUAUAGCCCGCUGCGCAAUACCCUGCGCCGGACUGAGGUACGCGCAUCGCAAGGAUGCUGGCGUAAUGGUCAUCAGCGACCCGUCUUGAAACACGGACCAAGGAGUCGUCUUCGUAUGCGAGUGUUCGGGUGUCAAACCCCUACGCGGAAUGAAAGUGAACGCAGGUGAGAGCUUCGGCGCAUCAUCGACCGAUCCUGAUGUUCUCGGAUGGAUUUGAGUAGGAGCAUACGGGGCCGGACCCGAAAGAAGGUGAACUAUGCCUGUAUAGGGUGAAGCCAGAGGAAACUCUGGUGGAGGCUCGCAGCGGUUCUGACGUGCGAAUCGAUCGUCAAAUAUGGGCAUGGGGGCGAAAGACUAAUCGAACCUUCUAGUAGCUGGUUUCCGCCGAAGUUUCCCUCAGGAUAGCAGUGUUGAACUCAGUUUUAUGAGGUAAAGCGAAUGAUUAGGGACUCGGGGGCGCUAUAUUGCCUUCAUCCAUUCUCAAACUUUAAAUAUGUAAGAAGCCCUUGUUGCUUGAUUGAACGUGGGCAUUCGAAUGUAUCAACACUAGUGGGCCAUUUUUGGUAAGCAGAACUGGCGAUGCGGGAUGAACCGAACGCGAGGUUAAGGUGCCGGAGUGGACGCUCAUCAGACACCACAAAAGGUGUUAGUACAUCUUGACAGCAGGACGGUGGCCAUGGAAGUCGGAAUCCGCUAAGGACUGUGUAACAACUCACCUGCCGAAUGUACUAGCCCUGAAAAUGGAUGGCGCUCAAGCGUCCCACCCAUACCUCGCCCUCAGGGUAGAAACGAAGCCCUGAGGAGUAGGCGGACGUGGAGGUCAGUGACGAAGCC